UGCUUAAUUAUCUAGAAACAUGAAUGUAAUUUCUAAUGCUUUUGUAUUUACUUAGCAUAUAUCUUUCCACAGAAAUCUGUAUAAUAUCAGCCACAACCAAUAGCAGCCACAACCAGUGAUCACGGGCUCACGAUCCUUCUAGAGAAGAAAAGGUGGAAUUUGGGCAGUAUCACUACGGACUUCUGGGAAUUACAGGAAGAUUGCCUCACCCUGCAUGUCAGUUUUGAACCAGUCUGCAGUUAAAGAACUGAGUUCUCCCUGCACUCUAGGCAGAUCCAGUGAAAUCUGGAGCUUUCACACCAGACCUUGGCCUAGAUGAGAAAGGAAAGAAGGAAGUGGCUGCCCCAUAGAAGCUUAGAAGCUUGGAGCUACUAUGACACUCCCCAUUUCCCUAAAAUGGGCACGCUUUCCUGAGCCUGGGACCAGAUGCUGGCCAGUUGUAUAGCUUUCUGCCCACUGUGAAGUUUCCUCCUGGAGCAGUGACAUAGUCCUGGAAGAACAAUGCUACCCUUCCUGCCUCUUCUCCACAGUUCCUGAAUGGUGCUAAGGAUCUGCAGAGGCUGGGGCAAAGCUGGAGCUGGAGACUAG
rnacentral:lncRNA from 1 species